GACGAACGCUGGCGGCGUGCUUAACACAUGCAAGUCGAACGGAAAGGCCCUGCUUUUGUGGGGUGCUCGAGUGGCGAACGGGUGAGUAACACGUGAGUAACCUGCCCUUGACUUUGGGAUAACUUCAGGAAACUGGGGCUAAUACCGGAUAGGAGCUCCUGCUGCAUGGUGGGGGUUGGAAAGUUUCGGCGGUUGGGGAUGGACUCGCGGCUUAUCAGCUUGUUGGUGGGGUAGUGGCUUACCAAGGCUUUGACGGGUAGCCGGCCUGAGAGGGUGACCGGCCACAUUGGGACUGAGAUACGGCCCAGACUCCUACGGGAGGCAACAGUGGGGAAUAUUGCACAAUGGGCGGAAGCCUGAUGCAGCAACGCCGCGUGCGGGAUGACGGCCUUCGAGUUGUAAACCGCUUUCGCCUGUGACGAAGCGUGAGUGACGGUAAUGGGUAAAGAAGCACCGGCUAACUACGUG
rnacentral:rRNA from 1 species